GCGGGGGUACCCAAGUCAGGUCUAAGGGGGCAGACUCAAGAUCUGCUGCCGUAGGGCUUCGGGGGUUCAAAUCCCUCCCCCCGCACCA
rnacentral:tRNA from 1 species